GCGGUAAAAUUCAAACAGAAUCGAUUUCGUCUGCUGAAUUUUCUUCGAUAGUUUUUACUAUUUUCUUGUUUACAAGAUUUUUCGCAUGUGCAAAACAAAAUUGUGUCGUCCGUUUCGUAAAAAUUGCACACUCGAUUCCUAUCUUUUACCUCUCUUAAUUAUAAUACGCACAUUCCUUUUUCGAAGGCCAAAGAGAGGAAUUUCAUGCAAGAUGCUCCACGCAUUUGGAGAACUUUUUCAAGGGUGACACACUCUUACAAAGAAAUCUACAACGAAUUUUACCAAUUGAAGCUUACAGCAAUGUCAAGGAUGAACUCUCAACGUUUGGAGCUCGAGUAGCUACAGACAUCUACAAGUAUAUUAGCAGAAAGUCUCUUUGAAUUGCAAUCACUUCACCAAUCCCUUCCCAUCACCAAUCUGGGAAGGAACUACAAACAUUUUGAGUUUGGACGUACUCAGAGCAUUGGCCAAAAGUGAAGGCCAAGUAUUGGUUGCGUUUCACCAGAGGAUCCAAGGUGUUCUCGACUCGACAACCAACCCGUCCUUAGCCGAGUGUUGCACUCAAUUGGAGAAAUACCGUUCCCAAUUGAUUUCGUUUCGCCCAGAAGAAUCUCGAUCAGUUGGAAUACGUCGCCCGCGAUUUCGCUUUCGGCCUGGCUCGCACUCUAGCCGGUGCCUUGCUCCUGGAACACGCUUCGUGGGGCAGAGCAGUAGACAGCGAUCGUGCUGCAGCCGAACGUUGGCUAGGACAACGAGAUCUCCUUGCCCAAUCUCUGGUUUCAGGACAGACUGCAAGCCAUUCAUCGCUAUCCGUCCAGCAACUCGACGAAGCUUUGGUCUUUGAUGGAUACGAUCAAAAGAACCUACUCUCGCCCCUCUUUUGAAAUUUUCCCCAUUUCAGUCUUUCCCUUCUCAUUAAAACGAAACUCAGGAUAGAAUAUGGAUUUAACAGGAACUGCCAUCCCCGACCCCCCCAAAAACUUAAAGGCCCAUCAUAUAAGAACGUUUACAGAAUUGAACGACCGAACUUGUACUAGGGAGAAAGUUGAUAUUGAUCUAAAAUUGGAAUGGGAGUUCGAUUUCAACGAUCCUGAUUAGCAAGAGGCCCAGUAUGAAAAUACGGAUCGAGACAUGUUUGCAUUUGUCAUAAGAAAUAUCGCAAAAAAUUCAAAUGCUGCGCAUGUAAAGAAUAUAGCAAUCUUUAAGGAUUUUUCCCUUUUCUCUUAAGAGCCAGACCUGAAAGUUGCGCUACCAGUUUCUAAAAUAAGUCAAAAGAUUCGUGCGACCAGUUUGGCAGAAGAUUAUUGGCCAAAUUGUCAACUCCAAACAAAAGUGGCUCUACAUUCUAACCAGUUCCCCCACGUGUUUUGCGGUUUAGGGUCUUAUUUUCAAAAUUCCAGUGUUUGAAAAUGGACUCAAGUGAAGUGAAAUUAUCUAGCGAUGACCUUAACCCACUACAAACUAUUGCCCGAAGAAAUUGUGGCUUAUUCCACGUUAUAACACAAUUAUAGCAAUUGAACGGCCGAACGUGUUAAGGGAAGAAAGAUGUUUUCCAAAAGGAGUUGUACAGAUGCACCAUCAAACUCCUUCCAGAUUCCAGUAUUUUCGACACAAAAAUCGGUACAUUAAGAUUCAUUAAAUGACAAACAACGAAUUGCUGGUGACUGGGACCCUGCAUGUAGUUACGUGGGUAAACAGGUCAUGACAUACGCGUAUUCCAAAUAGCGCGAUCUCGGGUUGGUUUUCACCCUUUCUGAUUGGAUUCGUGAUGUUGAGGUUGCUUUGCGAGACAAUUCAUUAUCAAACAGUCAGCACCCACUGACACUACUACAAAAUAAUCAGUUCCCCAUUCUUUAUUAUUACUCCCAGUGUUUGUUUAACUUGAAAGUUGUAUAAGUCAGCAGCGUCAAUAUGAGCUUGAAAGUAAAUCAUUGUUGUUGUGGUUGCUCCCUACAAACUGGCACCAAAAUUAUUGGAUGGCUCUACUUGGUGUGUGAAAUUAUAGCUAUUGUUAUGUUGGUGCUGGUCGAAGUCUUACCUGAAGAGCAGACGAGUCAGACGACAAUCUCGGAAACUGGAAAUCCAGAAACAUUGGCGAUCAUGGAGAUAGCUAGCAUAGUUAUUGCCGCCAUCAAGAUCCUAGUCACCGUGCCACUUCUUAUUGCGGCUUAUAAGAAUAGUCGACCGAUGCUACUUUUACCUUGGCUCAUUUUCGCCAUCGUAACUGCGUUAAUAGCAAUCGGCACCGGAAUAGCAUCCGUAAUCAACUCAAGUGGCAAAGAAAAUUUUUUCAAUGAAAUAAUCGCCAACACUGCUGUUAAUUUUCUUGGAUCUGCUCUUACAAUCUACUAUUGGAUAGUCGUCUACAGCUUUUAUCGACGACUGAGAGAAACACAACCAUAACAGCUAUAAAAACGCAUCUUAAUUUCGAUUCAAUAUUUAUUAAAACUCUUCAGCAUUUGCAUUAGUCUAUGGCCAAUGGAGAAUCUAAUAUAUUAAGUAUAACCGAAGCGUCAAGGAAAAUGAAUUUCCCUCUUUGAUUUGGCAGUUUCAGGAUGUGACCGUGGAAUCACCAAGUUCAUCGAUCCCGUCGUCGUCCGGACUUGUAUUCAAAAAGAAACAAAAGAGUAAAGGAGUGGGCGGAUUUGGUAAAAUCAUUUCAUUUUUACUUCCCACUCAAAAAGAAAAUCGGCCUUGACUAUUCCAGAUAAAGGGUAGUGGCUUGCAUUUGUUUUGUUACGUUAGAAAAGGCAGCCCACACCUGAACUGUAUUAUUAUAUGUGAGAAACUGAGAACAAAGACGUCGUAGUAAUGCUUCAAAGUUCAAACUGUAUUUGAGAAAAUUGAUUUCCAAGUGCAAGUGGUACAACAGACGACAACAGAUUGCGUGUUUGUUUUCACUGUAUUUCGGACUUGUACUUUCGCUGUCGAGUGCAGCAUUUUUCCAUCCUUGUGCGAACGUGUGUUGUGUGCAUUAAAUUGUUGAUGUGAACUGAAUAAUGCCGGUUUAUUACACCUCUGUCAAAGCUAACAAUAAUGCAUUCCAAUCAGACGGAAAUGGAAUAGUCGGCUGUCAGUUGAAUCAGUUCUGUUGCGGAUACUCACUCCGAACCGGAACCAAAGUCGUUGGUUCCCUGUCUAUGCUAGGAGGAGUGGCAGUGCUCAUUUAUUCUCUAACUGUCAUCUCCAGUUUGAAUAAUGCGCGACAUGGGAAUUAUUUCUUGUUGGGUAAUUCGUUAGGAAAUGCAAAUGAUUCCAAAAUACCCAUGACAAGUUUCGUCACGUCGGCCGUCGCCAUUGUUUGCUCGAUUCCCGUUCUCGUUAUGGCCUAUAAGAAUCUCAGUCCGAGGCUUCUCGUCCCUUGGCUAGUGGUGAACAUUGUGCCGUCGCUCGCCGUCAUUGGGUUCUUCAUUUACUUGGCCGUUUUUGAGCUAAUAACUGAAGGCUUGGAUGACAUCAUAGGAAUAAUAGUCAUCUUCGCCGGUGUUCUUUCAGGAGCGAUUUGGUUCUACUUUUGGCUGGUCAUCUACAGCUUCUAUCAGAAUCAAAAGAUAAACGAUAGGCAGCCGCUUCUGGACGACCAGAGCUAACACGAAGAAUAUUAAUUUACAUUUACUAAAUGAGCUAAUCUUUGAAGAAUACAAAUUUGAACUUGUC
rnacentral:misc_RNA from 1 species